rnacentral:sRNA from 1 species
GGUCAAACAUAAGACAUGCGAGAUUGUAAAUAACUUUUGAAUCGGAAUACUAUUAUUUAGUUAAUAGGAUCCAUAUUCAUUGCGAUACGUCUC